UACGUAGGUGACAAGCGUUGUCCGGAUUUACUGGGCGUAAAGAGCGUGCAGGCGGUCGUUCAAGUCGAGUGUGAAAGCCCCCGGCUCAACUGGGGAGGGUCACUCGAUACUGAUCGACUGGAAGGCAGGAGAGGGUAGUGGAAUUCCCGGUGUAGUGGUGAAAUGCGUAGAUAUCGGGAGGAACACCAGUGGCGAAGGCGACUACCUGGCCUGUUCUUGACGCUGAGGCGCGAAAGCUAGGGGAGCAAACGGG
rnacentral:rRNA from 1 species